GGGCCAGUGGCGCAAUGGAUAACGUGUCUGACUACGGAUCAGAAGAUUCUAGGUUGGCUCCUGGCUGCCUCG
rnacentral:tRNA from 1 species